GGUCGUUUGCUGUAGUCUUUAACAGCUUGAUUUUGAUAAUAAGUAUAAUGCAAUGUAGCAAUGGCUUGACCUUCAUCAUCCCAUACUGGCUGGGUGCCAGUGGUGGCUG
rnacentral:tRNA from 1 species